UGUAGGAGAGAUGGCGGAUUUGGCGCUGUAUGGGCUUCACAGGCUCGGGGACCGUGAGAGAAUCUGGUAUUAAACCGCCAUGCUAACUGCCAGGCUGCUUUCCAGACACCUGCGGCCCACACAGCCCUUCAUCCUGGUCUUUUCAGCUCUGAAAAAGGAAUUCGGGUUCUUAGUCUGUCCCGGAGUCUGUAUUUCUGCCCUUCAGCUGGACCUCAGCACGAAGCUCUGGCGGAACUAG
rnacentral:lncRNA from 1 species